GUUGGGGGGGUUCCCUCAGCCCGGAUUGUGAGAGGGCUCAGGCGAGGCUGAGGGACCCCACUGGUGCACA
rnacentral:pre_miRNA from 1 species